CGGAAAGCUGAAGACAAAGACAAAAGAAAACAGCUGUCAGAAGAUCGAACUGCUGAAUUCAGACAGAGCCAUGGUUCUCAAAUGGAAGGCAAUUACGUCCUCUGGGGGACAUCUGACAAUGUCUGAAGAUACCUUUGAUGCCCCAAUUGAUGAGUACAGACAAGGUGUCACCACGCUGCCCAGGCUGGUCUCCAACUCCAGCUCCUGAGUUCAAGCGAUCCUCCUGCUCGGCCUCGGAAAGUGCUGGGAUUACAGGCAUGAGCCACACACCAGACCCUGUCUCUGCCUCUGAGGUGGGGAAAGAUAACGCUCGCCACGGCUAUAAUGAUGGCUUCCUGUCCUACACAUCCCACUCACAAGGGCGGGGUCCUCAACUAAGCUUGGGACUGCCUGUCGUUCUGCAAAUGACCCACUCUACAGACGUGCUGCAGCAGGGAAACCCCGCCAACCGAAAGUGCCUCGUGCUGAGGACGAGACGCCAGUCACUCCAUCCCAUCCGUAAAGUGAAGACGCAAUGACUUUUAAGGCUGCCCUAAUAUUCAUCAUCAUCUAACAACGGAGGCCUUACUAAAGAGGGAAAAGAAGUAAAUGCUGUGAGCGAAGGGACCAAAAAGGGGGUAACAUUUAAAGCAAUGAGCCCGGUCCUUCACACAUAAACUUCUGUGAGGUAUCAUUGAUAUCAUUUUACAGAUAAAGACACAGGGGAUUCGCAGGGGGAAAGCUGCACAAAGUCACAGAUCAAAGUCAGUGACACAGCAAGAAUCCAAGUCAAAAUCCGGAGCGGGAACGUGAGAAGGGGGCGGGGCGGGGCGGAACCGCCCGGGCACCUCUGCGCAGGGCCGGGCUGGAGGAGGCCACGCGACUUGAAAACACCCAAAGAGUCCGAUCCCACCACCGCGGCCCACAAGGUCCAGACCCCACGUCCGUCAGCCUCUUCACGCGGGACGCAGCGCUUGCCGGCGCGGCCCGGGCGGCCUUGUGUUCUCGGGGCCUGGCCCACCGCCCCGGAAGCCUGGAAUCCCGGGAGCGCGCCUGGCCGCCCCGCCACGCCAUCCCGGACCCACGCGGACGCCGGCGUCAGGAAAGGCCGCGCGAGGCGGCCACGCGGGACGGAGGGGCUUAGCCGGCGCGCCGCUCCAACGCCUCCCCUCCGAGCCGCGCUCUGGCUGCCGCGCGCGGCCGCGCCACUUACUGGCCAUGGCUCUCCCGGCAGGCAGCAACAGCGGCGCGGUCUGAGCGCUGGCGUCCGAGCGGAGCGCGGCGGCGCUGCGGUGGGCGGGGCCCACGUCAGAGGCCCCGCCCCUCCCGGCCCCGAGGAGAGGGAUCUGCAUUCCUUCCAGCGCGCCUCGAACGCCAGGACGGACUAACUGGACAGGCGGAGAAAGCAUGCUUCCAAAGGCAAAGGGCAAAAGGGAACGGCCUAAGUCGAGGUGGCGUGCUGUGAAUGUUUAACAACCAGACUUUUCAGGGAGGAAAGCCCUGAUUUGUAGCGUUUGCCCUUUCUCCGAAAAAGACUGAACUUCGAGCUGGUUGAAUCGCCUCUGUGGCCAGAGUGACACCGUAUACUGAUGGGCUUGAGCUAUUUGACCACGUCGCUGUGGCGGGGACGGAAUGACCUGGUUGGUUUAGGCACGCGAGACGUCUGUGGGAUCUGACUACAAGGCUGCUAGGCCAACGGGAAAGAUGCUGAGGGUUCUACACUAUGCCCUCAACAAGUCCGCUCUCGAAUACGUUGUCAUCUCUUUGCUAAUAUUCUUUUUCGUUUUGUUUGUUUGUUUUAGACAGGGUCUCACUCAUCCACUCAACCCGGAGUGCAGUGCAGCAGUCUCGGCUCAUUGCAGCCUCGACCUCCCGGGCUCAAGCGAUCCUCCCAUGUCAGCCUCCCAAGUAGCUGGGUCUACAGGCACGCACCACCGCGCCCGGCUAGUUCUUUAAGUUUUUUACCUUUAGUAGAGGUAGGGUCUUGCUGUGCUGCCCCGGCUGUUCUCAAACGCCUCAGCUCAAGCAACCCUACCGCCUUACCCUCCCAAAGUGCUGGGACUGUAGGCGUGACCUGUUGCGCCCAGCCUAAUAGACUAAGAUUUUUGCAUUUUUAUUUAUUAGAUUGCGUUUUAAUUUUUGUGUUUUGUGUUUUUGUACCUUGUCAGACUAGUGGAACAAAAAUCCAACUUACCACCUUUUGGAAUGCCCAGCAUAGUUUAAUUAUACUGAAACAGAUCCUGGUUUGUAAAAGAACACUAUUAAAACAUUUUGGGGGCAAUUAAGUACAUUUAAA